UACGUAGGGGGCGAGCGUUGUCCGGAUUCAUUGGGCGUAAAGCGCUUUAAGGCGGUUCGCUAAGUCGGGUGUGAAACCUCCAGGCUCAACCUGGAGACGCCACUCGAUACUGGCGUGACUAGAGUCCGGUAGGGGACCACGGAAUUCCUGGUGUAGCGGUGAAAUGCGCAGAUAUCAGGAGGAACACCAGUGGCGAAGGCGGUGGUCUGGGCCGGUACUGACGCUGUAGAGCGAAAGCGUGGGGAGCGAACAGG
rnacentral:rRNA from 1 species